UUUCCGUAGGUGAACCUGCGGAAGGAUCAUUAGUGAAUUGAAUAUGUUAGCGGACCUCUUCGGAGUCCCUAGCAUCAAAUCAUAACCAUAACACCUGUGAACUGUAAGGCUGUCUCGAAAACGAAAGUGAUUAGAGCGCCUGCCCAUUUUAUACAAACAUUAAGGUAACAAACGUAGUCUUAUUAUAAUCUAAUAAAACUUUCAACAACGGAUCUCUUGGCUCUC
rnacentral:misc_RNA from 1 species